ensembl:lncRNA
CCCAGACCUAGCCUAGCGGGCAAUGCCUGUCAUUCAAUUAGCGAUAGCCCACACAGGGCAACAGACAGGCAACAACGGUCUGUCGCUAACCGCCAACAAAGCAACCCACACUUCAGGUUAUCUCCUCACCUACAAUCGUCCACAUGGACCACAAGAUCGAGGCGGUGCUGAAGAUCCUGGUGGACCAGUACAAACCCGACGAGGAGCUGAUAGAGAAGCCGCCGCCCCCUCCGCCCCGAGCUCCGUGCGUCCCCCGGGUCUCCAUCACCAGGGGGUCGAGCUCCGCCUUCAGUUUCGAUGGCGUGCAGUGACGUCACAGCGGGACAGAGCGGCGCCGGCAGGGUCCUCCACCAGUGCCUGGCGGGGUCGGGCAUAAGACAUCCUGCCUGGGCAGCGGGACCAUCACUCCGAUGGAGGGACCACUCCACCUACCUCAUUUAGAAGGUGGCGUAGUUGCCCACCGACCUCAUGCUUUUCCCCUGGGCUCUGUUCGAUCUGUACGGCUGAAGCGUUGCGGAUCGCGCAGCGACAAAUGUGGAGGUGAUUUCCAGUUGAGCCGAGAUACAGCGUUAGCAGAAAGUUGGCUUGAAAUGUCAACCGCGCUCUAACGCCAAGCUUCAGCGAUACGCAUCGAAUAGAGCCCUUACUUUCAGAAUCCCCGAACCCUUUAUAUCACCGUCUUUGACCUCAGAGAAAGACGGCAAACAACUCAACGCGGCUUUUGUUGCUAUGUGGGAAGCACUCGUCUGUCAGGGCAGCUAAGAGAAUUGGGAGACGUUGACAGUGAUAUCCAGCACAGUCCUGCCAUCCACCCUCCCUCCCCAUCUCAAUUCAUUCUGGAGUUUCUUGUCUCUUUCUCCUACUCUAAUAACAGCCCCAUAAACAUCCGCUGUUGAAAAUGUCCACAUCGUACCAUAGUGAGAACACAAACGACCUGUUAUACGGUUCAUUAGCCUGUCACUUCUACUCCUCGGUAUGGAGCGUUUCCGUCCUUGGCUGGAUGGAUAGAACAGUGCUGUAAAAUGGUCUAAAUGGUGCCAAGAUUGUGACACUCGAGUAUGUUCUCUGUUGAGUGCUGCAUCCUUCUCAGGGCUGCGUCCUUUAUACUAUCGCUCAGUGAGGCUCAUCCAAGCGCCGCAAUAUUAUUCUUAAGCAAACCAGCAGUUGGUGUGAAACACAAUGAUCAGCGAUUAGAUCGUGUCCAUCCGGUCGUAACGUCAAAGCCAUUGAAGCGUAUUCUGAAAAACACACGUGUGGGUUCCGACGAUGUGUUCACUUUCUAAACGUCUCCAGAGAGGGAGUGAGACCAGACUCGGAGAAGAGAUGUGUGCGGGGCACGGCGUUAGGGUCAGCUGGUAACAGUGAGUAGCCAGUCGACUGAAGCGUUUGCUAAAUGCCCGGAUGGAGGCCCGGCAGUCUAACAGCGGAAUUCUUCCAACUCUAAUGAUCUUGGCACUGUUUAAACAAAAGUACAGUGCGGCUGUUUCCAUGAAGCCACCGAUUCAUCUCCCCUUGGACUGUAUUCAGGGCGAGGGGAGAUGAUGGAGUGACCUAUAGGAGAACCAGGAGAUGACUCGUUGACCGGGGUCUGCAUCGUUAUUGGGCAGCGAGAGCGUAGUAGGAGGAGACCGCAGCUCUGCAGGAACCAGUCUGUCGCUGAUGUACAGUGAAGGUUAGGCUAAUAAAAAUAGCAAAACAGCCAUGACAAGGCAGAGUGUUAUGUUACAGAAAUACUGCAUGGGGGAAGAACAGUGCAGGGAGUUAUGGUAUGGCCUUUUGCAGUUGACCCCGUGCCAAUAUCACUGGGAUAUUUAUAUGAACCACUUCAUUCCCCACCCUCUGUUUUUCAUGAUAAAACACUUCUAUUUUCCCCCUUCCAGACUCCAAACUGCUGUGUGCAAUUUGAAAUGAAUUUGCCCCAUUAGAGCACUGAUUAUUUGUCUGUCUCUUGCUAAUUAAGUGCUGAAUUCCUGGUGAAGGGAGAUUACUCUGUGUGUGCGUUUACUAAUGAAAAGAAACACUGGAAAAAUGUGUACAAUUUAAACAGUAGGCUUUGAGCCGCUCACUUCAUAAUUCAGUGUGAAGGGCCUGAAAUAUCAGGCUACCCCUAAAGGAGAGGUAGAUGUACCAGGCUUCAGCUUCAGAUUUCACUGUAAAGCCCUUUAGAGCAUUUGAAUAUGAAUAAAUAAUGUAUCUAUUUUUUUUGUUCUCACUACACAUAUGUUGUAUGCCAGCUGGGUUUAGCCAGUAGAAAAUAGUAAACAAUAACCAAACUAUGUAUGCAAGCCCUUUUAUAAAUGUAGUACACACAGUCCUCAAAAGAUGGCGACAAAAGAGGGGGUGAAAAGGCAAAAGAAAACAUGGAGAGAGGGAAGGAAAAAUGGAGAGAGGAAAGGAAAAAUGGAGAGAGGAAAGGAAAAAUGGAGAGAGGGAAAGAAAAAUGGAGAGAGGGAAAGAAAAAUGGAGAAAGGGAAGGAAAAAUGGAGAGAGGGAAAGAAAAAUGGAGAAAGGGAAGGAAAAAUGGAGAGAGGGAAAGAAAAAUGGAGAGAGGAAAGGAAAAAUGGAGAGAGGGAAGGAAAAAUGGAGAGAGGGAAGGAAAAAUGGAGAGAGGGAAAGAGAAAUGGAGAAAGGGAAGGAACCCUCUGCAUUGCUGGUAUAUAUCUUUUCAUUUUGCUGUGGUUGAAGAUUAGUUGCAUGUAUUUUCUAUAAUAUAAUAUAUUUUUUAUUUUCUUCAAAGCAGCUAAGUCGGUUAGAGAUUCCUAGAGAUAACUGCUCCAUCCAUCUGGCUGUCUGACCAUUCUCCUGUACAGUUUUAUAAGAGUUGUAAAUAGUUACACUGCCUUAUAUUUAUUACCAUGUGGAACAAUCAACCUGAAAAGACUUGUGGUUUGCAGGGAUAAUGGGAAACAAAGUGUUUUAAAAUGGAUUGGUAUGACUGUAAAUUAUAUUCAUA